GUCCUCAUCCUCUUCUCCAUCCUCUGCAUCUUCCUCCGCAACCGCAUCGUCGACAUCGUCUACGCCUCCCUCGGGGCGCUGCUCUUCACCUGCGUGAGUGGCAUCGGCCGGGGGGACACCGGGGGAUGUAGGGACAUCAGGGAGGUGUGGGGGCACCGGGGGGAUGUGGGGACAUCGGGGGGAUGUGGGGACAUCAGGGGAAUGUGGGGACUUGGGGGGACAUGGGGACACCAGGAGAUGUGGGGACGUCAGGGGGAUGUGGGGACACCAGGAAGAUACGGAGACAUGGGGACAUCAGGAGGAUGUGGGGACAUCAGGGAGAUGUGAGGACAUGGGGACACCAGGGAGAUGUGGGGAUGUCAGGGGGAUGUGGGGACACCAGGAAGAUAUGGGGACAUGGGGACAUCAGGAGGAUGUGGGGACAUCAGGGGGACGUGGGGACGUGGGACAUCAUGGGGACACCAGGGAGAUACAAGGACAUGGGGAUACUAGGGAGAUAUGGGGACAUCAGGGGGGCGUGGGGACACCAGGAAGAUACGGGGACAUGGGGACAUCAGGAGGAUGUGGGGACAUCAGGGGGACGUGGGGACGUGCAGGGAUUUGGGGUCCUGGGGACACCAGGGAGAUAGGGGCAUGUCAGAGGACAUGGGGACACCAAGGGGACACCAUGGGGACACCAAGGGGACACCAGGAGCAAGCAGGGACACUGUGAGGACACAACAGGGACACUGUAGGGACACGAGGGGGACACAGAGACACUACAGGGACGUUAUAGGGACACUAUAG
rnacentral:lncRNA from 1 species